rnacentral:rRNA from 1 species
AGUGAACGCUGGCGGCAGGCCUAACACAUGCAAGUCGAGCGGCAGCGGGUUCCCGCGAGGGGAUGCCGGCGAGCGGCGGACGGGUGAGGAACACAUCGGAAUCUGCCUGGUUGUGGGGGAUAACGUAGGGAAACUUACGCUAAUACCGCAUGAGACCCUGAGUCGACGGACUGGGGGUGAAAGUGAGGGACCUUCGGGCCUCACGCGACCAGAUGAGCCGAUGUCGGAUUAGCUAGUUGGCGGGGUAACGGCCCGCCAAGGCGACGAUCCGUAGCUGGUCUGAGAGGAUGAUCAGCCACACUGGGACUGAGGCACGGCCCAGACUCCUACGGGAGGCAGC